UGUGGAGUCCCCUGUAAUAACAGAACAAACAACAUAGAGCCUAAUUGCGUCAAGUCCACUGGUUAAUUUGUUGUGUGCGGUCGUCGCCGGCAGAAGACUCUGGAAGUAAAGGGCACUUUGUGAAAUCCGCUGAACGGUGGACUGCGGCCCUUCUCUAAUGGUGGGGGCUGAAACCGGGGCUAACGGCCGUAGUGCCACUGACCUCGGACAACUUCCAAGGUCUGGUGUGGUUCCUGUAUCUGACGCAGGUCUGGUGUGGAGAUGCACAGUCACUCAUCACUGAUGAAUGGCCGCAGACAUCUGCAGCAUUGACACGGGAAUGAAAGCGAGAAAUCACCCCCAGAAAUCCCCCCGCAUCUUGUCUCCACAGAUGACCUCCACACAACAGGACUUCCUCUGAUAGUGAGGUCCAGAAGGUUUUGUCCUCAGUUUUGAGUUCAAAGCGAAUGCGUCUAUUCUAUUACAUUCAAUUCAUUCAUUCAGUUACGUUUCUUUGAGUGUUAAAGCUAACGAUAAACAUUUGUUGACUCCUUGCCUGGUGUUUUUUACAGCCCAUUUGACUACAGCAAAACGCAUUAAAUUAAAACGCAUUACAUUAAAGAGCAGCAUUACAUGAAAAAGCAUUACAUUUAAGAGCAGCAUUACAUGAAAAAGCAUUACAUUUAAGAGCAGCAUUACAUGAAAAAGCAUUACAUUUAAGAGCAGCAUUACAUGAAAAAGCAUUACAUUUAAGAGCAGCAUUACAUGAAAAAGCAUUACAUUUAAGAGCAGCAUUACAUGAAAACGCAUUACAUUUAAGAGCAGCAUUACAUGAAAACGCAUUACAUUUAAGAGCAGCAUUACAUGAAAAAGCAUUACAUGCACUUUGCACAUAGAGCAUUCUCACAAAUGAACAAAAUAUAUAUAUUUUUUGUAUCAUAACAUUUGUUUUAAUAUUUAUUUUCAUUGUUAUCAAGCAAUAUUUUUGUCUUGUGCUCCACUGAGACUGUUA